UGGAGAAGUGCUGUGGUGGGUUAAGACUACCAAGAUCCUAGGGUUACCAUAUGUUGGGGGUUUCUCAGAGAUUGCUUCUUAUUGGAAACUUCCACCCAGAUGGAGGUUGCUCCCAUACAGCUCUAUCCCAUCAGUGACAUGGAGAUACCCACAGUGUGUAUCUUGGUGCUUAAUUACGGGAGAAGAACCAAAACAAUUCUGGCCUGAAAAGAAUAAAGAUCUGGAAAAUUUGAAGAAACUUUUGUCAAGAUCUCUACGCUAACAGAACAGGAUUACCAGUUUAUAUGAAUAAUAAGAGUUAUGUCACCAAGGAUGAAAAAAU